GUUUCUUUCCUUCCAUCACUGGGAUGUCCAUCUUGGGGGGCUUCAAGGCUGCUGGAUCUUCAGCCAUUCGGUUGGCCUGGGCACGUAUCAGUUCCAAUGGAGAGGGCUUCUGGGCUCCUCGGUAGGCCUGGGUGGCAAAACUUCCUACAAAAGUGAACCAGAGUGCAAAUGAUUUCAAAACCAGUAAACAGCUCCCGGUAUACAAUAUGGUAAGAUGUCUGCCAUGCUGCUCUCUUUUUUGAAGGUGCUGCCUUACCAGAAUCGUACUUCUGAAGGGAUCUCGGUCCAAAGAGGCUCCACUUAUCUGACAAGUUUCUGUCCUUAUCCCCACUUCCAGAGUCCAUGGUGCUAGGAUUUGGGCCAGGUAAGGCUGUGGAAGAACCAGAAGUGAACCAGCCCCUGGGAAAGAAAGAACAAAACAUAUCCUAAAAUACCUCUUCCUUCGCCCCUAGAAAUGUCUCACACCAAAAGAACAGGGAACUAUCCCUUCUCCCUCUGAAACCACAGGCUUAAAUACAACCUCAUCUGCCACACUAGCUUUCCUGAAGCACGCAGGAACUCGGAAGGGUCACAGGAAGGGCUCACCUGGGCCUCUGCUUAGGUGAAGAGUGCGGAGUGGUGCUUGGGGUGGACUGGGCUGAUGCAGGCUGCCUCUCUUCUUUUGUUACCUCUCCACUCUGUAACUUUAGUUUCUGCUCAGAUGGGUAAGAAGAGAGACUUUUUAAAAAUGAAAGCAAAUUCCAAACAGAUAAGUCUAGGCAUAAAAAAUUUGGUUCGCAUUCUAACUUUAGGCAGAAGACAUCUACAGGUGGAAUGAUUUCGGAUGAUCUAACAGGUAGUCCUUUGUUUUUGCCAUACUAGAUGGAACUCCAUCUCCUUAAAAAAUGUGUUCAUUCUACACUAUAUCAUGAACAUCCCUGUACUUAAAGCUUUACACUACAACUUUUACUUUCAGAAACGUGAAGUAAUUUCCCCACAUUCCCCCAGACAGUAAAAUGGAAGAGCCAGAACGCUAGCUGCCAGCCUUCUUGGCCUUUUAAGCAGGGCUUAAGCUCUUGUCUCGCUGCUGCUCCUACCAUGUACAAAGCCCUGCCCAUCCUCAGUCUCUCCAAGCCAAUACUCAGGCAUGCUGCUUCUCUCCAGCUAAAUGCUUCCUCUGAGGAGCCUGUUCCAUUCUCUCCUCCUUCUCUCCCAUAGUCAGCCACUCUGGGUUCCCUCAGCACCGUGAGCAUUCCUCUGACUCGCAGUCUAGUGGGGAGAGACAGGUCUACAUCUCAGCUCUUCUAGAGCAAGGUUCCCAUGCUGUUUCCUCCCUCCAGGCCUGCCACGCCACUGCUUAACCCAAGCUGCACACCAAACAAUGAUCACGUUUGAAUUUUCUCAAACGCUCAACAGAUCCAUUCAUGUAAGUUGACAAUCUGUUACAAGAUGUAAGUUACAGCUAAUAUUUCAGCCAUCCUCAUGUUCUACUCCUAUGGGCAAGACACAGAAAGUGGGUCAACCAAAGUCAAUCCUACCAUUAUAUAAGGUGAAUUGCUCAAAUAGAAUUCUCACUGACCUAUCCUGGAAAGUUCUCAGUUAAGGGUCAAAGGCUGCCGGUGCCCCUCUCUGGAAGCUUCUGUCUUGUUUGAAAGCUUAAACUGGCCACCAGCCCAAACCUGAUUUCCUAUAGCAGUUUUUAAACCUAGCCUGCAAAAGAAUCAUCUGGAAUGCUCAUUACAAAAUGCAAACAGGGCCGGGUGCGGUGGCUCAUACAUGUAAUCCCAGCACUUUGGGAGGCCAAGGCAGGUGGAUCACAUGAAGUCAGGAGUUCAAGACCAGCCUGGCCAACAUGGUGAAAUCCCAUCUCUACUAAAAAUCAGCUGGGCAUGGUGGCGCAUGCCUGUAAAUCCUAGCUAUUUGGGAGGCUGAGUUGGGAGGAUCACUUGAACCCGGGAGGCAGAGGUUGCAGUGAGCCGAGAUCACAACACUGUACUCCAGCCUGGGUGACUGCAAACAGGCCACAGUUUUAUAUCCACAGUUUUAUAUCCCCACCCACAGGCCACCAGAUCCGGGUUAUUCCUCGUUAUGUAUAAUGUAUACCAUGAUUCUUUCCUGCGUCGUGUGCUCUCCUCACCUUGCCCUCAUCAUACCCUGUUCAGAACUCUUAAAAUAAAGCUUGGAACAAGCCUGGAUUCUGACCCCCCCUUGCCUAAAGAAGACAGCCCAAGUUUCUUAACUGUAAUUGUGUCUCUUCACAAUCUGCCCCUGACUUCCAUAUGAGCCCCUUCAGGAGCCAGAUUUCCAGGCUGCUUUGGAAUGAGGAGGAAGAAGCCAACAGGAAGUAAGGCAUCAGGAGACUUGGGUUCGGGUACUAUGACUGGCUGAAUAGAUGGCCUCGAACCUCAAUCUCCUCAUUUACAAAAUAUGGAGAAGAGCAUCUGUCCCAAAAGGUGAUUGUGAGGAUGAAAUGAAUGCAAGUGCUUCACAAUCAUAAAACACUAUCCAGUAUGAAGCGGUCUUCACUGAAAGAAAGUCAUUUGAAACUAUUCAUUCAAAUACUUGGCUAUCACUAAAUUAACCCUUACCAAAAUUCUUCACUUAUAGAAAUGAAAUAGCAAAAACAUUCCAAUUCCACAUUUGAUUUUAACUUGUUCCUUUCCAGUUAAGCUGUUACCUCUGUUGAGGCUGCCCAGUUCUCCCCAAGAUACUCCACAUUUGCUUUAUGAUUCAUAAAGUACUCCUAUGUAUAUGUAAGCUGAGGCUCUCACUUGAUUCUGCUAACCAGAAGUAGCAAAACAGACACCCCACUGUAUAGGUGGAUAAGCAAAAACUACGAGGCUAAGAGCUCGGGAGCGAGACUAACUCCACAGCCCCCAACUAACUGAGCUGGUAACUUCAAAACCACAGCCACAUUUCAAGCCAUGAACACUGAAGGUUUUGUUUUUUCAAAGUUCCUAAGAGCUUACGUGGAGUGCUUCGGCCACUCGAAGGUACUUGGUCUCCUCGGUGGUGAGGCCCUUGUGGGGUGUGUAGCCAGCAUCUCUCAGCCCUGCCUGUCGCUCAAAAUGCUGAAUGCUUUCCUGGGUCUGUUCUGGGAACAGAGGAGAUGACAGUCAUGCCCAUUCCCCUCUCCCAUCACAAAAUAAGGAGGACAACAUGGAUAUCUACUAUUCUCCCCAGAAGCAAGAGACCACACUGACCAUUCAAAGAAGAGGAGACUUUCCCCAGAGAGGCACCACAGCAGUAAUUCUGAACCUCACACAAAGGCUCUCUAGCCAGAAGGAAGCCUUCCCUCACACCAAGCUGAAGAGGUUAUUCCUAAAGGGACAGCUGAAGAACCUUGAGGACAAUACUCCCACCCUCCUCUUAGUUGUACAUGGUGACAUUUUCUUUGUAUUUAGAAAUGCAACAUGGGGCUGGAUGCAGUAGCUCACACCUGUAAUCCCAGCACUUUGGGAGGUCAAGGCGGGCGGAUCAAGAGGUCAGGACAUCCAGACCAUCCUGGCUAACAAGGUGAAACCCCAUCUCUACUAAAAAUACAAAAAUUAGCUGGGUGUGGUGGCAGGCGCCUGUAGUCCCAGCUACUCGGGAGUCUGAGGCAGGAGAAUGGCGUGAACCCGGGAGGCGGAGCUUGCAGUGAGUCGAGAUCGUGCCACUGCACUCCAGCCUGGGCGACAGAGCAAGACUCCAUCUCAAAAAAAAAAAAAAAGUUACAUUGUGCUAAAAGAACAAUGAAUAAGUUUUGUAACACUGCUAGAACACAUUCUCAAGCUUGUAAAAUAAAAGUAGUGUUGCUGAUUCAACAGAUGUGAAUAAGAAAAUCAAAGUAUAGGUGGUGCGUGAUGGCUCACACCUGUAAUCCCAGCACUUUGGUUGGCCUAGGCGGGCAGAUCACGAGGUCAGGAGUUUGAGACCAUCCUGCCCAACAGAGUGAAACCCCAUCUCUACUAAAAAUACAGAAAUUAGCCAGGCGUGGUGGUGGGCGCCUGUAGUCCCAGCUACUCCAGAGGCUGAGGUGGGAGAAUUGCUUGAACCUGGGAGGCGAAGGUUGUGGUGAGCUGAGACCACAGCAUUGCACUCCAGCCUGGGUGACAGAGUGAGACUCUGUCUCAAAACAAAAAAAAAAAAGAAGAGAAACCAAAGUAAGAGUCUGGACCUUUGGUUCUUGGUGAAUUCACUAGGAAUUGCCCAGGACAAACUGAUGCCCUCCUGGAGAAGAUAAACAAGGGCUUCUGACUUCAAAAAUGAGCCAACCAAGGAGAACCUCUAUGUACCUUACCCUGGUAGGGGCACAACUGCUGACAAACAGAGCCAUGUAUCUAAUUGUUAACUUCCCACAGCAACCUGUACAGCCCUCCAGAAUGAAGAAGUUUAGUUAGCUUGUUAUAAGGUUAAAAAAAAAUCCAAGUUCUCAUAUCAGGUUUCAUUAGGAUGACCAAUCAUACAUUCUUAAGACUAAAGACACUUGGACCUGGUCCUCUUCCUGGUAGACCAACUUUGAGCUGUUUAAAAAAAAAAAAACAAAAAAAAAAACAAAAACUGGGGUAAGUGGGAAAUGCCCGGAUGUUUCCCCUUCUCCAGCAGAGCUUGAAACAGUAACAGCAGCAGCUGCCGCCACUGAGCACUGGGCCUUCUGAUCCUCACCUCAACCUGCCAGUGAAAUUCCCCAUUUUAGAGCGGGGCAGUCUCUGUAGUUAAGUAGCUUGCCCAAGGCCACAGUGACAGAGCUGGGAACAUGAGAUCAUAUCAACAAAGCAGCAGGAAUGCACCUAAAUCAGAUAAGAUGCUUAACAUUUGGCAAAUCUUCCACUUAAUAAAUGGAGCUUCAAUACUGACAUGAUUCAGCAGCCAAACUGACAUUUUUUAGGAUAAGGUAAGGCGAGCGUGUUGCAGUAUCAUCUCCAAUCAGCUUGUAGGAAGCCUCAACUCUUCCCUGCCCCUAUGGCACUCUACUCUGAGGGUGAAGAGUGCUUACUUGUGAUCAGAGAAUUCAUGAUGACAUGGGUAGCUUUAGCCUUCACCACUGGGACCUUGUCCACACUGUCAAUGGCUGAUGACAGGGUCAUGGCAGGGGAGGGUAGACUGGCCUCUCCUUCCUCCACCUGUUCAAGAGAGGUACAGUACAGAAGCACUUAGGCAGGGCAGGGGAGUCACACACCUAAACUUACUCCUUUGGGGAGGAAGUUACUGAAAUAACAUUAAUCUGGUAAGUGAGGAAAUCAUUGAAGGGAGGAGUUGGUCAUCUCCACCCAGCUAGAUAGGUAUUAUCCAUAGAGACAACAAAGAAAGACAUUAGGUGAAUAGUUUACAUUUAUAAAGGUGGGAAAGCCAGAAUUUGAAGCUCUGACGUCUACUACCUUCCCAGACUAUGAUCUUCCGAUAUACUAUAGUACUAUGCCCUAAGAAUGCAGAAGAAAUGCUUAUUACGAAGCACUGACCACAUCCCAGGCACUAUGCUAGAUCUUAAUUGAUGAGAGCACUGGCUAAGUGGUUCUGACCCUGUGCCAGCCAUUAGAACAGACUGCCGGGCUCCACCUCAGAGUUUGAUUCAGUAGGUCCCUGUUAGUCUGGGGUGGAGUUCAAGAAUUUCUUUCUAAUAAAUUCCCAGGUGUUACUGAUGCUGCCGGUCCCAAGACCACACCUUGAGGACCACUGCUCCCAAGGUUCAAGUAAUGGUCUUUUGAAACAAACAAAAAAAAUCUACUUAGCUCCUCAUUUUCAACCUGCAAGAGCUGGCAGCCUCCACCUUCUGCAAUCGAAACACCUGAUACCUUGCUCAGGCCUAGCAGGGAGGAGAGAACAAGACUUAUUCUUUAUUCUGUGCUUGUCUGGAAGAACUGAGAAGAAAGUAAGAUGGUUGAAAAGGGGGGACAGAUAAAAAGUAAUGAAAAAUGUUGUAUCCUUACUACAAAACAGAAUUUAUACCUUUAAGCUGUGACCUUGAGUAAAACUUGAGCCUGUUUCCUUACUGGGAAGACGGUUGAUUCCUAACAUGGGGAGAGUUAGGGCAAAUGAAUAGGAUCGCAUGCAAUGAGUCAAGCGGAGCUCUCCUUUGGAGCAGCUGUUCCAAGCCAUCAGCUGUUCCAGCUGAGGCCCAGAAGAAAUCUGGAAGCCCGCUCAUCCCUUGCCUUGUGGAGCCAUCAGCAGGGUGUGUGGCCUGGCAAGCACCACCAGAAGCCCUGCUCACCUCCUGCUCUGGACCCUAAAGCCCAUUGCUCUGACAUCACAGGCAAGCUGCAGCAGGCCUUUUCUCCCUGCACUUUUGCUACUUGUUACAUGGAAUACUCUCCCUGAACAACUGACUGGGUCAUAUUUCAGUAGAUAAUUGAUAGAGGGAAUAUCCCCCAGAGCUGUAGGGGCACUUUCUUAGAAAGGAGCUGUCUGCCCUGAAAGUCUGUUGGAGGCGGGGGGAAAAACACUCCUUAGAAAUUAUCAAAUAUGGCUCUACUAAGAGAAAGUUAAGCAGGGAGCCUGCAGUCAUAAUAUCAGCUACACAGCUAAUACACAAUGUGCCAACCCUUUACAUCCCCUGACUGAAUCCCCACAACACCUCUAUGACAUAAGGUAUUCCCAACUCUCAGAGAGAGACACUGGGGCUCAGGGUAAAGUUGUGUGCCCAAGGUCUUGCUAGGGCAGACCACCUGGGACUCACACCCAGGCCUAUUUCAGUGGACCCUUACUGUGUACUGCCUGUCAGGCCCUGAGCUACCAUGUGGCUCAAAGUUCAGAGAAACUGUAGCUACAGGUUAAACAGCCUUACGUGAACUUGGCGGGCCUACUUUAUUCAGGCAACAGUCUAGCCUUUCUUGUAUUCUUGGUGGCUGGAGAGUCAGAGGGGAGAGAGUCCCUGAGGUCGGGAAGCAGAGGCUCCAAUAAUGCGAACCUACGAAACUAGACUGCACGAAGGACUGUGAGGUAUGUUCGGAAGGGCCUUAGGAAGGAGGCAGUUCUUACAGAGGAUGGCCAUGGGCAAAGGCAGCUGAGGCUGGAGGUACAGCAUGAGGACAGGUACAGCAUGUGUUCAAGAAAGGGCCAAUUUUUUUCCCCAAUCACAAAAUGAGCAGUUUUUGGGAAUCUAUGCCAGGCCAUCGGCUGGAUCCUGCAGAUAAGAGUACAAACCUAGACAUGGCCCCUGUCCUCAGGAAGCUAAUGGAGGGCGAGAAAGCAAUGCAGGGAUGACGACGGGGACCAUGGUACCGUGGGGAGCUCAGAGGGAGAGGUGAUGGCCUUAUCAGGAGGACGGAGAUGUCAGGAAAACUGUCACAGAAGAGACUUUUGAGCUAAGACUUAAAGGAUACCAGUUUUCAGGCAAAUGGAGUGGGAGAAAAGGUGAGAGGACAGGAUGUGGAUGGCAAACAUCCUAAACAAUCAGGGCAGUGUGAGCCAAAAACUGACAGGCAGAAAAUACGCUGCUAAGUGCAAGAAUUUUAGGUAACUUGCACAGUUCAAGCACUGGGUAGGGGAGCUGGAGAGAUGCAGGCAGGACUUAGAUCACAUGGACUGUGGAUCAUGCUGAGCUUGGAUUUAGCUCUGUGGGGAAUAUGAAGAGUCUCAGGAGCAGACAAGGCCAUUCUAGUUUUGAAUUAAAAAGAAAAAAAAAAGGAGGGAGAUUUAAAAAACCAUCUAUUGGGUACACUGUACACUAUUCGGGUGACGGGUGCACUAAAAGCCCAGACUUCACCACUAUACAAUUCAUCCAUGCGAACAACACCUCGGGUAACCCUAAAGCUACUGAUUUUUUUUUUAACAAAAUAAAUAAAAUCUUAAAAAAAAAAAAAAGACAGCUAUAACUGAGGCACAGAAAACACAUACAGGGAGUGGUUGCUGCCCAGUCCCAUGGGCACAGGGAGCCACUGAAGGCUUCUGGAGCAGAGGAAGGACAAAGGGGUUGCGUAUGCCAGAAAUGGCCAGCAGGGUCAGAUACCUUGGCGAGGUGCUGAUACUUGCGCUCUGGAAUCACUGGCUUCCAAGGGACGCUGCCCAUGUCCGAUGGAGGAGGAGUCAUGGGCGCAGGGUCCUCGAGGGUAUCAUCAUAGCUGACUGCCCGGCGGUAUAUCCCGAUGGGCAGGGACAUCUUGCCUAGAGGCGCACUAGCCUCAAGAGCUAAGAACAGAGACACCUGUCAAGACAGGUUCAGCAACUGGACAUACUAGCAGCUUUAAAUUAAUCUACAGGAAGGAAAGCUCUGAAAUACUCUUGUUCUUGAACAGAGCAAAAUAGCUUGUUUUGGAGUAGCUAAUCCCAUCCAGGAAAGGCAGUGGUACCAAUCCCUUCCUCUAUGCCUGACACCUUGGGUGGUCCACUUAACCCACUCAGCCGUCCUAAUCCUUUUUUUUUAUUAUUUGUUUAGAGACACAGUCUAUGUUGCCCAGGCUGGAGUGCAGCGGCACGAUCACGGCUCACUGCAGGCUCAACCUCCUGGGCUCAAGUGCCUCAGCCUAGCGAGUAGUUGGGAUUCUAGGCAUGUGCCACCAUGUCCAGCUAAUUUUCAUGGAUCAGGAAACCUGAAGUUCCAUUUAAAGGUACUUGACCACAACUUCAAAGUACAGUUUGGAAUCCAAUCCCAACCAAACCUAUCUGAUUUCAAAGCUGUGUCCUUUAUCCCACAGAAGCCACCCCCUACUGCAAUACUAAGGCUCUCAGUUCGUGCAAGACUGAGGAUAUGAAAUGACCGAGGAUACGAAGUUCUCAUUCCCAUUUCAUAGAUGAGGAAACUAAGGCCUAGGGGUAAAGUGACCUUCCCAAGUUCAUUCAGAAAAUGGCUACCUGGGGCUCAGCCAAGGUCUGUGAAUCCUCUACCUUCCUUUCCUCACCAAAGAAAACACCAGCACUAACAGAAAUGUUUGUGGCAUCACUGUUCUGUAUGAUUUAUUUAAACAGUAGAGUCACUUUCCAUCACAGAAAUUAUUGACAACCACUCUCACAAAUCACCAGCUGAUCCUGCCAUUCCUGUCCACUGGAACUGACGCCCAGCAUGUCGGGUUGUGAUGCAGCCACCCCAUUCAAGGGCACUCUCAGCUGUGCCAGACCAGGGAGCCAAGUUCAUUGUGUUUCGUUUGCUAAUCCUUGCAUAUCAGAACUAAUGUCCAGAACCUACCUGAAAGGUAACAUUUUCCUGUGGCUAAAAUCAUAUAAUAACACUCUCUAAGACAUCAACCUGCCUGGCAAUAAGUCCAAAACCACAAAAGGUUUCAUUUAAACGGCAAGGGGACCAAGCAGCUAUCAUUAUUAUUACUAUUGCUAUUAGUAAUAAUUAACAAAACCAUAGAAAUAAAAAGAGGAUUAGAGGUUGCCAGGGAGUGGGUGGGGGGAGUGAGGAUACGACUGCUAAUGGUACGAGGUUUUCCUUUGGAGGUUAUGAAAACGUACUGCAGUUUGGAUGGGUGUGGUGGCUCACACCUGUAAUCCCAGCACUUUGGGAGGCUGAUGUGGGUGGAUCACCUGAGGUCAGGCGUUCCGGCCUAGCCAACAUGGUGAAAUCCCAUCUCUACUCAAAAUACAAAAAUUAGCCAGGCGUGGUGGUACGUGCCUGUAGUCCCAGCUACUUGGGAGACUGAGGCAGGAGAAUUGCUUGAACCCAGGAGGCGGAGGUUGCAGAGAGCCAAGAUCGUGCCACUGCAUUCCAACCUAGGCAACAGAGCGAGAUUCCAUCUCAAAAAAAAAAAGAAAAGAAAAGAAAAUGUGCUGCAAUUGAUCGUAGUGUUGUUUGCACAACCCUGUGAAUAUACUAAAAAUCACGACAUUGUUCACUUUCAGUGGGUGAAUUUUAUGAUAUGUGCAUUACAUCUCAAACACACACACAAGCAAAUAAUAAUUACUAAGUCUUCCUCCUUGCUAGACAAUUACAUCCCUCAUCUUAUCUAAUCCUCAUGAAGCAGAUAUUCUUCCCAUUUUCAAAUUUUCCAUUUUCACAAUCAACUUGCCCAAUAUCACCUAGCUUGAAAGAGUGUGCUGGGAACUGGAACACAGACCUGAGCCGGUGCACACACUCUGCAUGCAACACACUACAAAGCAUUCACUGAAUGGGCACAAUCCUAUGGCUCGCGACGGCUACACGGAGUUUGUGGUAAUCACAGCAACAAUGAAAGACAAACUAAAACGGAGCUGAUGAUGUUAAGACUAGAGAUGGAUCUAUAUUGGGGAAUACGGGAGACUUGGGGAGCAAUUUCAAAAACAUCUUAAAGACUCCCACUGAACAGCCAUCCUAAAACAAAUAAAGUCAGCUAGUAUUUACUGGAAAAUAUGUUCAUAUAAAGACAGACCAAAUGCAUUCUGGGCAGUAAAUACAUAUUUAUCACUGAUUUUUAACUCCUGUUUUUACAUAUUUUGUUUAAUCUUCACAACCCCGAGAGAUAGGAACCAUCAUCUUUCUUCAUCAUCAUACUUUACCGAGAAUCAGAAAUUAAGCGAUUCAGAUGUAAUUAAAAAUCACUUUCCUUUCUCAUAAAACAAUUCAAGUAGUCAUCAAUGGUGUCAAUAACCCAGAACUUGACUCAUUAAGGGUUGCUGUGAGCAUUUUCAUGAUUAAGUUCAAUCUGCCAUUUAAGCAGGCUGGUGCCUUUUUACCAAGACUUCCAUCCCACCUCCCCAUCACCCCCAAAAAGGUGAGUUUAAUCACUUUGGUACAUACUACAAGAACUGCACAACUUAUUCUGAAUUAUUAUUUGAUAACUAGGAAAGUAACAAACUUGUCAUAAUACCCUUAAAUGAAGUGACUAUUCUCUUUAAGUUAAAGUUUCAUACUAUGGCUGAGCGGCUAAUAAAAUAUUUAAAUGAUGCCAAUCUAAGGCUAGGCGUGGUGGCUCACACCUGUAAUCCCAGCACUUUGGGAGGCCAAGGUGGAAGGAUCACCUGAGGUCAGGAGUUUGAGACCAGCCUGGCCAACAUGGAGAAACCCUGUCUCUAUUAAAAAUACAAAAAUUAGCCGGGCGUGGUGGCAGGCAGCUGUAAUCCCAGCUACUCGAGGCUGAGGCAGGAGAAUCACUUGAGCCCAGGAGGCGGAGGUUGCAGUGAGCUGAGAUCACACCACUGUAUUCUAGCCUGGGCAGCAGAGUGAGACUCAAAAAUAAAAUAAAACUGGCUGGGCGUGGUGGCUCACACCUGUAAUCCCAACACUUUGGGAGGCCGAGGCAGGCAGAUCACAAGGUCAGGAGUUCCGCCGGGCACGGUGGCUCACGCCUGUAAUCCCAUUACCUUGGGAGGCCGAGGCGGGCGGAUCACAAGGUCAAGAAAUCGAGACCAUCCUGGCUAACACGGUGAAACCUCGUCUCUACUAAAAAUACAAAAAAUUAGCUGGGCAUGGUGGUGGGCGCCUGUAGUCCCAGCUACUCGGGAGGCUGAGGCAGGAGAAUGGUGUGAACCCGGGAGGCGGAGCUUGCAGUGAGCUGAGAUCGCGCCACUGCACUCCAGCCUGGGCGACAGAGCAAGACUCUGUCUCAAAAAAAAAAAAAAAAAAAAAGGUCAGGAGUUCCAGACCAGCCUGGCCAAUAUGGUGAAACCCCGUCUCUACAAAAAAUACAAAAAUUAGCUGGGUGUGGUGGCGGGCACCUGUAAUCCCAGCUACUGGGGAGGCUGAGGCAGGAGAAUGGCUUGAACCCAGGAAGCGGAGGUAGCAGUGAGCCGAGAUUGUGCCGCUGCACUCCAGCCUGGGCAACAGAGCAAGACUCCAUCUCAAAAAAAUAAAAUAAAAUAAAAUAAGCCAAUCUAGUAAAUCUAAAUACUCGCUUGGUAGCAGAGAUUAACCAUUAAUAUAUAGUUCCGAUAAAAUGGUUUCUGUCUAGCUUAAAACAUUAAUAAGGGCAAAACAUGAUUUUACCAAAAAGAAUUAAGUUUACCAGGCACUUCUGGUUGUCUUGAAGCCAUUGAAAGACUGGGAUCCAGGUGCUUUUUCUAUACAGAAUUCCGAGCUGAGUCCCUGCCACCUAAUAAAAUAACAAAGGGCAUUUUCUUAUGGUGA
rnacentral:lncRNA from 1 species